UGGGACAGCCGACUUUGGCUUCUUUGUUUGUUUGAGGGACCGCGGAAGUGGCGGGGAAUGUGCCCCCGCUUGAGACCGCUUAUUGUGAGCCCUCAACGGAAAUCCUGCACGGAAGGCAACCGCCUCCCCGCUCGCGUUAGAAGGCUUCAUUUGCUCUGAGUUAUCAUUGAGAACUAAAUGGAGAAGAAAAGAACUGAAGGCCUGAAGAUAUGUCAUCUGUAGAAAAGCCCCAUCCUUCUGCAGGUGGCCUCUUCUCAAGCUUUCUUGGCAAAUCAAGAGCUUCUGCCUUUUGGAGGACAUCCUCUUGACCUCCCACCCAUAUCAGCUCUUAGAGGACAUUCCACAGGAACAUUGUCUUCUUGUCCUCCAGUAUUUUUUAUGGAAACAGAAAUUAGGUUAUCUUCCUUAUGCUCUAGACGGACAUCUGAAAUCAUCAAACCCUUGAGAGAAACAGCCCUCAUUCUUUUAUGAGACAACCUGGAAGAAAACAGGACUCUGAAGAUUUGUCUCCAUAUUCUCUGGAAAGAUGUACUCUGUUUGCAAUAAGAGGGAGCCACAUGGUUUAUUAGAUGGUUGUUAAUUGAGCAUUCUGUGCAAAGAAGUUUGUGCCUUAGAUUUAGAAUUCCACCCUCAGUUGGAAUACAGAUGAUCCCUAGCAAGUCACAUGAAAAAAUGAACUGUGGAGCCAGAAGAGUGAGUUCUUGGAGAACUAAGGGCCAGAGACCUGUGAGCAAGAUUUGAUAAUUUUAUAAAAAUUAAAAGACGAUUUGAAAUGUUA